rnacentral:rRNA from 1 species
UACGUAGGGGGGCAAGCGUUGUCCGGAUUUAUUGGGCGUAAAGAGCGUGUAGGCGGCCAGACAGGUCAGCUGUGAAAACUCGAGGCUCAACCUCGAGACGUCGGUUGAAACCGUCUGGCUAGAGUCCGGAAGAGGAGAGUGGAAUUCCUGGUGUAGCGGUGAAAUGCGCAGAUAUCAGGAAGAACACCCGUGGCGAAAGCGGCUCUCUGGGACGGUACUGACGCUGAGACGCGAAAGCGUGGGGGAGCGAACAGG